UCUCGGUCGGGUCACGCGCAGCCCGACCAGGUGCAUUGGUUGACUCGUCGAUUGAUUGCAACAUCGGCCCCAGGUGAGAUCUCGGUCUGUUUCCUUCCUCCUGUUCCAUUUCGUCCUCUUCCCCACCUUCUUCCCCUCGCGCAGAUCCAGCCAUCGUGGGAUGCGACGGUCGACGCGGCUGCUAGGGAAAGGAACGGUGGCGCCGGCGGCUGGGGUGGGAGUGGAGACACGCGCAUCAUCGUCGCACUCCAUGGACGAUGACGACGCAGAUUUCAGAAUGGACGAUGACGAAUGUACUGCCGAUGGGUCAUUCUUCUCAACACGUUUCACAGCCACCCGGCUGCGCCAGGUUGCGAAUAUUCAGUCUGAAACUAAGAAGCAAGUUAUUAGCAAAAGCAGCUUUGGGUCCCUCCUAAACAUCAGUUCUUUCUCUGUGCCGGCUGAUUUGCUUGAUUGGAUAGUGAUGAAAAUUGACACAUAAAAGGCAAUGUUUAGUCACAAGAAGUCUAUAUUGUUCACGAAAGAUAUGGUGCAAAAAAAAUUUAAUGUCCCUUCUGGGUCAAGGCCAGUGGAGCUGUUGAGGAGGAAUGAGCCUCAUGCGCUUCGUGAACCCUAUCGAGUAGGGUUAAUGGCUCCAAUGAAGCAUGAUAUUCAAGUGCUGAAGGCGACAGAUGAUCGUGAUGUAGUUUCCAUCAACAGGACUUGGGUGCUUUUAUGCAUUGCUCUCGUGCUAUCUCCUGGGACUGGCAACAUGGUCCCCCUAGAGUAUGUUGCGAAGUGAUAUGUCUCCAACGUAUCUAUAAUUUAUGAAGUAUUCAUGCUAUUAUAUUAUCCAUCUUAGAUGUUUUAUAUGCAUUUAUAUGCUAUUUUAUAUG